UAUCGCAUAGGGAUUUAUCGUUGGGUGGGGGGAUAACCGUGGGAAACUGCGGCUAAUACCGCAUGACGCCUGUGGGCCAAAGCCUUCGCAAGGGGGUGCCUGAUGAGGAGCCUGCGUCCGAUUAGCUAGUAGGUUGGGUAAUGGCUGACCUAGGCUGUGAUCGGUAGCUGGUCUGAGAGGAUGAUCAGCCACACUGGGACUGAGACACGGCCCAG
rnacentral:rRNA from 1 species